UACGGAGGGGGCGAGCGUUAUUCGGAAUUAUUGGGCGUAAAGGGCGCGUAGGCGGCUUGGCAAGUCAAAGGUGAAAUCCCUCGGCUCAACUGAGGAACUGCCCUUGAAACUGCCUGGCUUGAGGCCGGGAGGGGGUAGCGGAAUUCCCAGUGUAGCGGUGAAAUGCGUAGAUAUUGGGAGGAACACCAGUGGCGAAGGCGGCUACCUGGACCGGUUCUGACGCUGAUGCGCGAAAGCGUGGGUAGCAAACAGG
rnacentral:rRNA from 1 species